CAAAGGCCUGCCACCUCCCCUGCCGCUAGGCCACGCCCCCAACAAACUUUUACUGUGCACACACAAAAGAUGAUUGACAGCAGAUCCUCAGAGGUCCUCACCAGUUGCUAUGGAAACCACACAUUUUGUCUCGUUUAUAAUGUUAUGUUCUACACUUUUUGUAGUUUGACAGCUGCUACAACAGCAUCAUCACCCCUUCUAGUGGCUUUGCAUGUUAAUACAGCGUUUUCAACAUGUUCA